rnacentral:rRNA from 1 species
UACGGGGGGGGCAAGCGUUGUUCGGAAUUACUGGGCGUAAAGGGCUCGUAGGCGGCCAACUAAGUCAUACGUGAAAUCCCUCAGCUUAACUGGGGAACUGCGUGUGAUACUGGAUGGCUUGGAUUUGGGAGAGGGAUGCGGAAUUCCUGGUGUAGCGGUGGAAUGCGCAGAUAUCAGGAGGAACACCGGUGGCGAAGGCGGGUCUCUGGGCAGUAACUGACGCUGAGGAGCGAAAGCGUGGGGAGCGAACAGG